UUCCUCCCUUUGUUCGGUCAUUUGCUGGUUUUGGCCAUUGGGUUUCUCGAUUGCUUGAUUUGAUCUUGACGUGGGUGGUUCAGGGCUUGGUCGUGGCCGUCCGUCUCUUCGGAAGCUCCGCUCGAUGAUCCUGAGGAGCGACGAAGGCGGGUGUGGAGGCGAGAGAGGAAAGGCUCGUUGUCGUCAGCUUUACCCACAGACUCUGUCAGCUGAAGUUUCCAAAUUUGACAUGCAACUCUUUCACUGACUGUUGACAUCACAGCCUUGUUAUCAAGAAGAUGGAUUAUGUAGUUAUAUCCUUGAGUUUACCACGUGGACAGAGGAUGGAUGCUGCUAGUUGCAAAAAGGUUUAUCCCUCCAGACAUGUUCACCAUGGGAUAUUACAACUUGCAGAUUCCUUUGAUGGUCCAACAGCAUCACACUCUCACCUUUUUCUUUGGCUGUAUCUUUCAGAAUUUGGAACUUGGUAAUCUCUCAAGGACAUUAUUCUUUGUGCAACAUUUCAUCUAGCAUAGUUAUUUUCAUUUUUACCGGACUGGUACGAUAUCGGUAUAUCAUCCUAAAAAUAUAAUAUCGACCUUGGAGUGGUAAAUACCGAUCGGUACAUACUGUACCCAUCCAUAUUCUAUUGUUAUUAGCUUGUGAUUAUUGCACUUCAUACCACAAGCUCUAUUUGAGUGACCUUGGUGAGAACAUCAAAACACCAAGUGCAGUUCAACCACAUGCAGAAGAAUCUCAGCCAACUCAUCUUCAUGUUGAGAAGCAACCAAAUCUGUUGUUUCAUUCCUCUCUUUUCUCCAGCAUAAUACCCAGCCAGAGGCCCACAUCCUUCCCUGCUCAGUCCAUACAGAAUCUAUUGAACCAGAAGAAAACGACGAAGACCAUGUUCCAGUGGCUGGGAGAACCACCAUAGUGUUAGCAGUCCAUGUUCUUGAACUCAUCAACAUUUUGUUAUUUUUCAGAAACAGUUCCAGUGAUGGAAACAUGUUGACAUAGACUUUUAUCCAUUUGGAUUGAAUUUGAUUCAAAAUAGUUGUUA